rnacentral:rRNA from 1 species
CCUACGGGUGGCAGCAGUGGGGAAUAUUGCACAAUGGGGGAAACCCUGAUGCAGCGACGCCGCGUGAGCGAAGAAGUAUUUCGGUAUGUAAAGCUCUAUCAGCAGGGAAGAAAAUGACGGUACCUGACUAAGAAGCUCCGGCUAAAUACGUGCCAGCAGCCGCGGUAAUACGUAUGGAGCAAGCGUUAUCCGGAUUUACUGGGCGUAAAGGGGGCGUAGGCGGCCUGCCAAGUCUGGGGUGAAAUGCCGAGGCUCAACCCCGGGGCCGCCUUGGAAACUGGUGGGCUGGAGGGGAGGAGGGGCAGGCGGGAUGUCUGGUGGAGCGGUGGAAUGCGUAGAUA